GACGUAGGGCGCGAGCGUUGUCCGGAUUUAUUGGGCGUAAAGAGCUCGUAGGCGGCUUGUCGCGUCGUUCGUGAAAACCUGUGGCUCAACUACAGGCUUGCGGUCGAUACGGGCAGGCUGGAGUUCGGUAGGGGAGACUGGAAUUCCUGGUGUAGCGGUGAAAUGCGUAGAUAUCUGGAGGAACACCGGUGGCGAAGGCGGCAUCCUGGACCGGUAUUGACGCUGAUGCGCGAAAGCCAGGGGAGCAAACGGG
rnacentral:rRNA from 1 species